rnacentral:rRNA from 1 species
AUUGAACGCUGGCGGCAGGCCUAACACAUGCAAGUCGAACGGUAACAGGAAGAAGCUUGCUUCUUUGCUGGCGAGUGGCGGACGGGUGAGUAAUGUCUGGGAAACUGCCUGAUGGAGUGGGAUAACUACUGGAAACGGUAGCUAAUACCGCAUAACGUCGCAAGACCAAAGAGGGGGACCUUCGGGCCUCUUGCCAUCGUAUGUGCCCAGAUGGGAUUAUCUAGUAGGUGGGGUAACGGCUCACCUAGGCGACGAUCCCUAGCUGGUCUGAGAGGAUGACCAGCCACACGGGAACUGAGACACGGUCCAGACUACUACGGGAGGCAGCAGUGGGGAAUAGUGCACAAUGGGCGCAAGCAUGAUGCAGCCAUGCCGAGUGUAUGAAGAAGGACUUCGGGUUGUAAAGUACUUUCAGCGGGGAGGAAGGGAGUAAAGUUAAUACCUUUACUCAUUGACGUUACCCGCAGAAGAAGCACCGGCUAACUCCGUG